rnacentral:snRNA from 14 species
AUUCUUAUUAUUUCUUAUUCAGGGCCUUCCUUAAGACUCAAAGUACAAUUUUUUGAGAUCCUGUCCUUCAGUGGGCAGAGUG